GUUCAUCUCUCAUCUUUUUAGAUUUUAAUGUCUUGUAGUAGUUGCUACGUUUCUUUCAUGAGGCAGAUUAGAAGUUAGUAUAUAUGAAUGAUUGGCCCAAGCUAUAAGUUAUACUCCUUACAUAAAUUGUCCAGCAUAAAAUUGAACAAUAGAACUAGUGAUUUUUGACCAAUUUUCCUAACAUCUUAUUACUAUGGUGAAGUUUAUGAUACUUUUUGGUUUGAUGGUUUUGUUAAAUAUUCAUGGUGGCAUAUAUAGUUGGAACAAUAUGUAGGAUCAUUUAAUACAAAUGACUUAUUUUUACUUCGAAGCCAAAGUUGAAAAUGGAGUAAAUUUCAAGCGACUAAUUAGUAGUAUAGUACAUGAAUCUACAGCAACUUUCAUAUUAUAAUAUGAAUGCAGUAACUUUGGUUAUUUCCAUCUUAUAUUGCAAGCGACUAAAUUAUGUUGCACGCAGAAGUUUUAAGAACUUUGUUGUUUUCAAUUUUGUCUUGCCAGUCUUUAUUGAUUAUUGAGAAGCCAUGUGUAGUAAUAUUGUUGAUAAAUUUAUUCUUUGACAAUUAAACCUUUCCUCCAAUGUGCAGGCUGAAGAAUAUGCAUACUAGAGUUAAGAACUUGGAUGGUUCUUUGUAAAAUCCUACUGAUUUUUUNNNNNNNNNNNNNNNNNNNNNNNNNNNNNNNNNNNNNNNNNNNNNNNNNNNNNNNNNNNNNNNNNNNNNNNUCUCCUGUUAUGUUCAGUUCACAAGUAAUUUCUUUUUAUAUUUGAUUGAACAAUUCUGCUAUGAGAUACUACUUGUGCUUACAAAAAAAAUUUGCUAUUUGAAAAGAGGUAUUAGAGUUAAUUGAUUGCAGCUUGUCUCUACCUUUUCGGUAGCUUUGUAAUCAUGUCUUAGGCUUUAUAGUUGUUUUGAUAGAGCUUAAUUUUGUUGUCAUUUGUGUGUUGCUCUAACUAUGGGGUUGUUAAUGAUUGAGUCACUUUGGCAUUGUAAUCAUGUGUUUGUAUGGUUUGAAGUGUUGCAUUGUAACUAUUUGGUAUACCUUAUCUCUCUUUCAUUAAUAAAUUAUUCUUUAGCUUUUAAAAAAGAAUUUGUUCUGUUAUGAGUUCAUUUAUUUGAUCUUCUUAGAAAAGAAAUGCAUUAUGUUAUGUUUUAAAAUACCAAUCUUGUGGAAUUAUACCAUGAACUAAGUCAAAUUGUACAACUUAGUUCUUUUUUUUAAGUAUUCUAAUAUAUACUUAUGUUUUUCCAGGUAACCGAAUAAGAAGAGUCAAGCGAUGAUAGGCGUUCUGAGUCUAGCUAACACUAAUUAAGGAUUAUGAAGCAACAUCACAUAUUUUGUGAACUUAUUUUGACGUAAUGUUAUGUUUAACCACUAGUAAUAUUUAUGUUUUAGUUUUUGAAUCUUUGAACUACAUUAGUUUCUUUCGUUUGAAACUUCAAGUACUUUAACUAAGUUUUUGAUGUAUGGAUCUUGUCACUAUUGAAUGAAUUAAAUAAAUGAGAUUCAGUAAUUUAUAUAUUAGUGCAUUUUUAUUUCUUUACUCCUUUAUGGAUGUAUGAAUAUUGUAAUUGUUCUUUAAUAAGCAAAGAAUAAAAAAUGUUUUAAAGGA
rnacentral:lncRNA from 1 species